CAGCAGCCGCGGGAAUACAGAGGGUGCGAGCGUUAAUCGGAUUUACUGGGCGUAAAGCGUGCGUAGGCGGCUUCUUAAGUCGGAUGUGAAAUCCCUGAGCUUAACUUAGGAAUUGCAUUCGAUACUGGGAAGCUAGAGUAUGGGAGAGGAUGGUAGAAUUCCAGGUGUAGCGGUGAAAUGCGUAGAGAUCUGGAGGAAUACCGAUGGCGAAGGCAGCCAUCUGGCCUAAUACUGACGCUGAGGUACGAAAGCAUGGGGAGCAAACAGGAUUAGAUACCCCGGUAGUCCCUGUCUCUUAUAU
rnacentral:rRNA from 1 species